GAUUUCGGGACGGCACGUGGUGGAGGAGGAGGGCGGCUGCGGGCAGGAUCCCACCCGCGGGAGCUCCGUGCCCCAGCCCCGAGGAGACGCGGCGCGUAAAUCCCGCAUGCAUCAGGCUGCCGGGCCGAGCACGGGAGCAGAGCCUCUGCCUUUGGUCUUCAUCUCAGCGGAGCCCUUGACGUGGGAAUUAGAUUAGAAAUAAUACAGAUGUUGAAAAAAAAAAAAAAAUCUCUGCGGGUUGUUUACGCUGAAACCCCCGGUAUAGGGUGGACGGGUGAGCGCAUAGCGCAAGCCGAACUCUGACCCCACUGAAGUGCAUGGGAAUGUUACCAGAGACGAGCCGCUUGGCAGACACUAACAGAUCAUAUAUUAUCUGCCUUAGCUGGAAGAAUUAUAUUUUUCCAUCAGCAUGAUUAUUUUUAUUUGACUUUUAAGUUGAGCUGGAAGACAGCGAGGCUUACAUCCAUCAUUGCGGCGGCUAUUAGAAAAUUAACCCAGCUUAAUAAACUUUCUGCAUGGCUUGCUUCUGCAGCUGUGUAUCCAAAGGAAAACAAAUAUAUUGACUGGUCCACUGUGGAGCUGCAUCUCUGGGGCUGUGAAAGACGUUUGUUUCAGUUGCCAACAUCUCUACAGAACUAAUGUGGGUGGAUUGUGACAGAUAUAAUUUCUCCAUCCUACAGUUUCAUCAACUUGAGUUCUGUUAAACUAUACCCGCUGGGCUUAGCUCCUUUUAAAGUUUCCGCUUUGACAGUUCCCAAACAGAAAGCUGGGGUUUGUGACGGGGCGAGGCCGCGCGUGAGCAAGGCGGGAUUGAAGCCGAGAGGCUCUGCUUAAUUAAUCGGCACCUAAACGCCUCGCUUCCUCCUGCACCGCGCAGCG